GGCUGGUCCAAAUGCAGUGGUGUUUACAACUAAUUGAUCACAAGCAGUUACAGAUUCCUUUGUUCCUUCUCCACUCCCACUGCUUCACUUGACUAGCCUGAA
ensembl:misc_RNA Y_RNA Y RNA